UUAUCACCAUCUCACUCCACCCACGAUACUAUUUUACCUAUAUAUACACAGGUGCACGUUGUUUUCUUUGGAUCGUUUUCUUGUGCAGGGAUGCAGCAUUGCAGCUGCUAUCUCUGCAGUGAUCAAGAAACCUUCGCUGUCCGAUACUCCUACCCUGCCAAAGUGCCAAUCGCCUCACAUCAUCGUGCAGCACGGCUGCACGGCCCUAUAUACUUCACCCAGGUUCCGUCCUCGUGAGAAGACGGAUGGCUGAUGAGGACGCCCACGAGCCAUAUUUGCUGAUAUUUUCUGAUAUCAAGAACAAGCUAGGGUGCAUAGGACCAUCCAAAAUAUCUUGGAGGGUUGCCUGUGCGUUACAUGGGAUCGGGACGGAACGACUGGGAGCCAAUGCUGGGUCAAGAUUUAGCUGGAUCCGAACAAAACAGCAACCUUCCUUCCUUUUUCUAAAGAAGCACAGUGAACAUCUUUCCAAAAAAUUUAGAAGCACACGAAAGCUUCCUUCAUUGCAUUUCAGAAAGGGUUGGCAGGACAAAAAAGAACUACAAAGUUGCCAAGUUGAUAAGUUUCAAACGAAAAAGGUUGCCAACUUGAUAGGCUUCAGAAUUUGGACGAUACUGCUGCCACUAAGUACUAUGAACUUUGAACCCCAACUACAUGGAUAUGAUAAUCAUUUUAUUAAUCCAAGAACAGAUUUUUAUAUAGAGAGAUUGAUGAGUGCAGGGCUCACUCCAGCGCACCUUGAGGAAGGACCUACCACUGAUGAAGAAAGCCAAAGAGCAAAACUGCAUCUGCCACGAAUUCCUAGCCUCUUCACGUGGAUUUGCCUUUUAUUUUCUAGAUCCACCUGUUAAAAUUCAUGGCAUGUCCAUGAAGGUGACGAACUUGGCCGCGGGCCUCUCAAAACCGGAAAUCCAUUUCAUAGAUUGCUGCUGAUAAAGAAUCUUAUAAAGAUGGUGUGCCUUUUGCAAUGGAAAUGAUGUGGUUCAGACUUUUUUGGCACGCUAGCUGCAGGCCUGCAAGGAGCUGCGUACCGGGAUCGGUCGAACUGGAUGCGUGAUGCCGUUAUCUCAAUACUAGUUCUAGCAAUGAUCAUGGCGCAAGUCA